ensembl:lncRNA
AUGGACGCAGCCGCCGCAGCAGCAUCCCCUCCUGAGGAACACCUGCGGAGGGCGAUUUACAGCCAUGGCACCAUUCUCGGGCAACACCAGCAGGUGCUGCAAGAGCUACGGGACUCCCAACAUACCCUUGGGGCUCAGAUAACCGAGAUAGCAAGCAUGAUGCAGGGCCUGGCGCUCCACCGUUCACCUCCCCCAGAGGACUUGUCCAGCAUCUGUGAGUCUUUUGUCCCCUCACUAGUGCCUUUUGAUGGAGCGUCUGGAGAGUGCAGAGGAUUCCUGCUACAGUGUGGAUUUGUUUUUAACCAGCGACCCCGCACAUUUUCUUCAGACAAUGCAAGGGUGGCCUAUACUGUGGGGUUGCUGCGCGGCAAGGCACUGGUUUGGGCUGAAGCAUUGCUCAGCAAACGCAGUGCAGACCGGGUCACCUAUCUGUUCUUCUUAGAGGAGUUCAAGAAGGUGUUCAACCACCCGGUUUACGCUAGGGAUGUGGUUCAGCGCCUGGUCAGUCUUCGCCAGGGGACGACCAGCGCCGCAGAGUAUGCUGUGGAUUUACAGAUCCUGGCCACUGAGUCCGGUUGGGGCAAGGAGGCGCUAAAGGAUUUAUCGCAACAGUCUUUCGGAGCUGUUGAAGGACGAGCUUGCGGUCCGGGAGGUGCCAGAGUCAUUAGAGGAGCUUCUCACACUCUCCAUCAACAUGGACAACCGUAUCUGGGAGCGCCGUCGGGAGAGGAACUACAGGCCCCCCACUCCUGCUCGGCAGUCGACUUCCGUCUCCAGUUUUCUGUUGACGAGCACGUUCCAACGAUACAGCUCUGCACGUCACCCCUCUUCCGCCCCAGGACCUCCCCCGUUGGAGCCAGAGGAGCCGAUGCAGCUGGGCCAGGCCCAUCUCUCCCCAGAGGAGAGGGAGAGGCGUUUUCGCUCUGGAGGCUGCCUUUACUGUGGGCAGUUAGGCCAUCGUAUGGCCGUCUGCCCUGUUCGGCCAAAAGAGAGAGCUCGCCGGUAAGAGUGGGGGUGCUGGCGAGCGAUUCAGAGAGAGUUCCUCAUGCCAAGCCUCAAUCUGUGUUUCCUGUCACCCUGUAUCUUUCAUCUGGUCCGGUGCACCUGUCCGCACUUAUUGACUCAGGGGCCGAACAGAACUUUUUGGACACAACUUUUAUUAAGCAGAAAGGCAUCCCAGUGGAAGCAUUAGAACGAGCUCAGCUGGUGAGGGCACUGGAUGGCAGUUCUCUGGCAGAGAUAACACACCGGACGCAACCCAUCUCUCUAAUCGUGUCUGGGAAUCAUCGUCAGGAGACACAGUUCUACGUUUUCCCUUCCCCCCCAAAUACCACUGGUCCUGGGCCUCCCCUGGCUCAGGGAUCA